UACAGAGGGGGCAAGCGUUGUUCGGAAUUACUGGGCGUAAAGGGCGCGUAGGCGGCCUUCUAAGUCGAACGUGAAAUCCCCGGGCUCAACCCGGGAACUGCGUCCGAGACUGGAAGGCUCGAAUCCGGGAGAGGGAUGUGGAAUUCCAGGUGUAGCGGUGAAAUGCGUAGAUAUCUGGAGGAACAUCGGUGGCGAAGGCGGCAUCCUGGACCGGCAUUGACGCUGAGACCCGAAAGCGUGGGGAUCAAACAGG
rnacentral:rRNA from 1 species